GAUGAACGCUGGCGGCGUGCCUAAUACAUGCAAGUCGAGCGAACAGACGAGGAGCUUGCUCCUCUGACGUUAGCGGCGGACGGGUGAGUAACACGUGGAUAACCUACCUAUAAGACUGGGGUAACUUCGGGAAACCGGAGCUAAUACCGGAUAAUAUAUUGAACCGCAUGGUUCAAUAGUGAAAGACAGUUUUGCUGUCACUUAUAGAUGGAUCCGCGCCGCAUUAGCUAGUUGGUAAGGUAACGGCUUACCAAGGCGACGAUGCGUAGCCGACCUGAGAGGGUGAUCGGCCACACUGGAACUGAGACACGGUCCAGACUCCUACGGGAGGCAGCAGUAGGGAAUCUUCCGCAAUGGGCGAAAGCCUGACGGAGCAACGCCGCGUGAGUGAUGAAGGUCUUCGGAUCGUAAAACUCUGUUAUUAGGGAAGAACAAAUGUGUAAGUAACUAUGCACGUCUUGACGGUACCUAAUCAGAAAGCCACGGCUAACUACGUG
rnacentral:rRNA from 1 species